rnacentral:rRNA from 1 species
GCAGUCGACGCUUCUUUUUCCCCGGAGCUUGCUCCACCGGAAAAAGAGGAGUGGCGAACGGGUGAGUAACACGUGGGUAACCUGCCCAUCAGAAGGGGAUAACACUUGGAAACAGGUGCUAAUACCGUAUAACAAUCAAAACCGCAUGGUUUUGAUUUGAAAGGCGCUUUCGGGUGUCGCUGAUGGAUGGACCCGCGGUGCAUUAGCUAGUUGGUGAGGUAACGGCUCACCAAGGCCACGUUGCAUAGCCGACCUGAGAGGGUGAUCGGCCACAUUGGGACUGAGACACGGCCCAAACUCCUACGGGAGGCAGCAGUAGGGAAUCUUCGGCAAUGGACGAAAGUCUGACCGAGCAACGCCGCGUGAGUGAAGAAGGUUUUCGGAUCGUAAAACUCUGUUGUUAGAGAAGAACAAGGAUGAGAGUAACUGUUCAUCCCUUGACGGUAUCUAACCAGAAAGCCACGGCUAACUACGUGCCAGCAGCCGCGGUAAUACGUAGGUGGCAAGCGUUGUCCGGAUUUAUUGGGCGUAAAGCGAGCGCAGGCGGUUUCUUAAGUCUGAUGUGAAAGCCCCCGGCUCAACCGGGGAGGGUCAUUGGAAACUGGGAGACUUGAGUGCAGAAGAGGAGAGUGGAAUUCCAUGUGUAGCGGUGAAAUGCGUAGAUAUAUGGAGGAACACCAGUGGCGAAGGCGGCUCUCUGGUCUGUAACUGACGCUGAGGCUCGAAAGCGUGGGGAGCAAACAGGAUUAGAUACCCUGG